rnacentral:misc_RNA from 1 species
GGCAGGAUCAACCAGGUAGCAUCCCUAAUUGACAUUACCCGCCCGCUGGUACGAGCCAACACGGGACAGGCAAGUCUUUCAAGGUGAUGCGCCACUCUUUGACAAACCCUCCUGAUCCCAAUGGCAAAGCCGAUUCAGGCAAGACAGUAGGUCAUGUUAACUUUGACAAACCCUCCUGAUGGCAAAGCCAAAUCAGGCAAGACAGUAGGCAUUGUUAACUUUGACAAACCCUCCUGAUGGCAAGGCCAAUUCAGGCAAGACAGUAUGCAUUGUUAACUUUGACAAACCCUCCCUAUGGCAAAGCCGUUUCAGGCAAGACAGUAAGCAUUGUUAACUUUGACAAACCCUCCUGAUGGCAAAGGCGUUUCAGGCAAGACAGUAAGCAUUGUUAACUUUGACAAACCCUCCCGAUGGCAGGGCCAAAUCAGGCAAGACAGUAAGCAUUGUUAACUUUGACAAACCCUCCCGAUGGCAAGGCCAAACCAGGAAAGACAGCAGUCAUGUUAAGAGAGGCACAAACGCUAAAUGAGGGCAAAACAAGGAUCCCAUGAGACCCCAUGCCCACAUCGUUUUCCAUAUCCAGGAUACCAAGCAACGCUCAAUGGGCCACAACAUCAACGCAAGCAUAAUGUUGUGGAUCAAGGAGACCGCUUUGUGGUUCAUCCGAUGCCACAAAAAUGGCACGAGACGAAAUCAACUGUAAUCAACCAAGACAAUACCAAUGCUUAGGUACGCAACACAGAAACCCACAAUUUGGCCAGGCAAUAGAUGCCCAAACAAACAACUGAAGAGGUAUGCCGGGUGGA